CGACGGCAGCACGGGAGCAAUCCUGGUGGCGAGUGGCGAACGGGUGAGUAAUGUAUCGGAACGUACCUUUCAGUGGGGGAUAACGUAGCGAAAGUUACGCUAAUACCGCAUAUUCUGUGAGCAGGAAAGCAGGGGAUCGCAAGACCUUGCGCUGAUUGAGCGGCCGAUAUCAGAUUAGCUAGUUGGUGGGGUAAAAGCCCACCAAGGCGACGAUCUGUAGCUGGUCUGAGAGGACGACCAGCCACACUGGAACUGAGACACGGUCCAGACUCCUACGGGAGGCAGCAGUGGGGAAUUUUGGACAAUGGGCGCAAGCCUGAUCCAGCAAUGCCGCGUGCAGGACGAAGGCCUUCGGGUUGUAAACUGCUUUUGUACGGAACGAAAAAGUCUGCCCUAAUACGGUGGGCUCAUGACGGUACCGUAAGAAUAAGCACCGGCUAACUACGUGCCAGCAGCCGCGGUAAUACGUAGGGUGCAAGCGUUAAUCGGAAUUACUGGGCGUAAAGCGUGCGCAGGCGGUUUUGUAAGACAGAUGUGAAAUCCCCGGGCUCAACCUGGGACCUGCAUUUGUGACUGCAAAGCUAGAGUACGGCAGAGGGGGAUGGAAUUCCGCGUGUAGCAGUGAAAUGCGUAGAGAUGUGGAGGAACACCGAUGGCGAAGGCAGCCCCCUGGGCCAAUACUGACGCUCAUGCA
rnacentral:rRNA from 1 species